GCGUAAAGCGCGCGCAGGCGGUCCUUUAAGUCUGAUGUGAAAGCCCACGGCUCAACCGUGGAGGGUCAUUGGAAACUGGGGGACUUGAGUGCAGAAGAGGAGAGUGGAAUUCCACGUGUAGCGGUGAAAUGCGUAGAGAUGUGGAGGAACACCAGUGGCGAAGGCGACUCUCUGGUCUGUAACUGACGCUGAGGCGCGAAAGCGUGGGGAGCGAACAGGAUUAGAUACCCUGGUAGUCCACGCCGUAAACGAUGAGUGCUAAGUGUUAGAGGGUUUCCGCCCUUUAGUGCUGCAGCAAACGCAUUAAGCACUCCGCCUGGGGAGUACGGCCGCAAGGCUGAAACUCAAAGGAAUUGACGGGGGCCCGCACAAGCGGUGGAGCAUGUGGUUUAAUUCGAAGCAACGCGAAGAACCUUACCAGGUCUUGACAUCCUCUGACACCUCUGGAGACAGAGCUUUCCCCUUCGGGGGACAGAGUGACAGGUGGUGCAUGGUUGUCGUCAGCUCGUGUCGUGAGAUGUUGGGUUAAGUCCCGCAACGAGCGCAACCCUUGUCCUUAGUUGCCAGCAUUCAGUUGGGCACUCUAAGGAGACUGCCGGUGACAAACCGGAGGAAGGUGGGGAUGACGUCAAAUCAUCAUGCCCCUUAUGACCUGGGCUACACACGUGCUACAAUGGAUAGAACAAAGGGCAGCGAAGCCGCGAGGUCAAGCAAAUCCCAUAAAUCUAUUCUCAGUUCGGAUUGCAGGCUGCAACUCGCCUGCAUGAAGCCGGAAUCGCU
rnacentral:rRNA from 1 species